ensembl:lncRNA
CAGACACACUGGUGCUCUUUAUACGCUCAAAACGCUAUACAGCGAUUGAGAAGGCGCUAGGAGCAAAGGAAAGUGGUUUUUCUAACAAACUCAUGUAAUCAAUUGCCCGACCUACUCUAAUAUGAUAUUUUUCACAUAUUUACACAUAAUAUAGUACUAUGAAAUGUUUCUGACCCAAAAUAUUACGAAAUUUGAUUGUUUACAAAAAAUUGUAAAAGUUGAUGAUAAAGUGUGGUAAGGUGAAAAAAGUGACAUUUUAUGUCUAGAAAGUCACUUUUCAUCAAAAGUACAAUAACAAAACUUGUUCCCAUUCAUUCAGUGUGUCCAGACACACUUGUGCACUUUAUACGCUCAAAAGGCUAUACAGCGCUUCAGAAUACGCUAGGAGCAAAGGAAAGUGGUUUUUCUAACAAACUCAUAUAAUCAAUUGCCCGACGGACUCCAAUAUGAUAUUUUUCACAUAGUUAGACACAAUACAGUUCUAUGAAAUGUUUCUGACCUAAAAUAAGACGAGAUAUGAUUGUUUACGUUAAAAUAUAAAACUUGAUGAUAAAGUAUGAUAGGUGAAAAAAGUGUCAUUUGAAGUGUAGAAAGUCACUUUUGAUCAAAAGUACAAUAACUAAACUAGUUCCCAUUCAUCCUGUGUGUCCAGACACUCUGGUGCUCUUUAUAUGCUCAAAACGCUAUACAGCGCUUCAGAAGGCGCUAGGAGCAAAGGAAAGUGGUUUUUCUAACAAAUUCAUGUAAUCAAUUGCCCGACCUACUCCAAUUUGAUAUUUUUCACAUAUUUACACAUAAUAUAGUACUAUGAAAUGUUUCUGACCUAAAAUAUUACGAAAUAUGAUUGUUUACAUUAAAAUGUAAAAGUUGAUGAUAAAGUGUGAUAAGGUGAAAAAAGUGAUAUUUUAUGUCUAGAAAGUCACUUUUCAUCAAAAGUACAAUAACAAAACUAGUUCCCAUUCAUCCUGUGUCCCCAUACACACUUGUGCUCUUUAUACGCUCAAAACGCUAUACAGCGCUUCAGAAGGCGCUAGGAGCAAAGGAAAGUGGUUUUUCUAACAAACUCAUGUAAUCAAUUGCCAAACCUACUCCAAUACGAUAUUUUUCACAUAUUUACACAUUAUAUAGUACUAUGAAAUGUUUCUGACCUAAAAUAUUACGAAAUAUGAUUGUUUACAUUAAAAUGUAAAAGUUAAUGAUAAAUUAUGAUAAUGUGAAAAAAGUGAUAUUUUAUGUCUAGAAAGUCACUUUUCAUCAAAAGUACAAUAACAAAACUAGUUCCCAUUCAUCCUGUGUCCCCAUACACACUUGUGCUCUUUAUACGCUCAAAACGCUAUACAGCGCUUCAGAAGGCGCUAGGAGCAAAGGAAAGUGGUUUUUCUAACAAACUCAUGUAAUCAAUUGCCAAACCUACUCCAAUACGAUAUUUUUCACAUAUUUACACAUUAUAUUGUACUAUGAAAUGUUUCUGACCUAAAAUAUUACGAAAUAUGAUUGUUUACAUUAAAAUGUAAAAGUUAAUGAUAAAUUAUGAUAAUGUGAAAAAAGUGACAUUUUAUGUCUAGAAAGUCACUUUUCAUCAAAAGUACAAUAACAAAACUAGUUCCCAUUCAUCCUGUGUCCCCAUACACUCUUGUGCUCUUUAUACGCUCAAAACGCUAUACAGCGAUUGAGAAGGCGCUAGGAGCAAAGGAAAGUGGUUUUUCUAACAAACUCAUGUAAUCAAUUGCCAGACCUACUCCAAUAUGAUAUUUUUCACAUAUUUACACAUAAUAUAGUACUAUGAAAUGUUUCUGACCUAAAAUAUUACGAAAUAUGAUUGUUUCCAUUAAAAUGUAAAAGUUAAUGAUAAAUUGUGAUAAUGUGAAAUAAGUGACAUUUUAUGACUAGAAAGUCACUUUUCAUCAAAAGUACAAUAACAAAACUAGUUCCCAUUCAUCCUGUGUCCCCAUCCACACUUGUGCUCUUUAUACGCUCAAAACGCUAUACAACGCUUCAGAUGGCGCUAGGAGCAAAGGAAAGUGUUUUUUCUAACAAACUCAUGUAAUCAAUUGCCCGAACUACUCCAAUAUGAUAUUUUUCACAUAUUUACACAUAAUAUAGUACUAUGAACUGUUUCUGACCUAAAAUAUUACGAAAUAUGAUUGUUUACAUUAAAAUGUAAAAGUUGAUGAAAAAGUGUCCUAAGGUGAAAAAAGUGACAUUUUAUGUCUAGAAAGUCACUUUUCAUCAAAAGUACAAUAACAAAACUAGUUCCCAUUCAUCCUGUGUGUCCAGACACACUGGUGCUCUUUAUACGCUCAAAACGCUAUACAGCGAUUGAGAAGGCGCUAGGAGCAAAGGAAAGUGGUUUUUCUAACAAACUCAUGUAAUCAAUUGCCCGACCUACUCUAAUAUGAUAUUUUUCACAUAUUUACACAUAAUAUAGUACUAUGAAAUGUUUCUGAGCUAAAAUAUUACGAAAUUUGAUUGUUUACAAAAAAUUGUAAAAGUUGAUGAUAAAGUGUGGUAAGGUGAAAAAAGUGACAUUUUAUGUCUAGAAAGUCACUUUUCAUCAAAAGUACAAUAACAAAACUUGUUCCCAUUCAUUCAGUGUGUCCAGACACACUUGUGCACUUUAUACGCUCAAAAGGCUAUACAGCGCUUCAGAAUGCGCUAGGAGCAAAGGAAAGUGGUUUUUCUAACAAACUCAUAUAAUCAAUUGCCCGACGGACUCCAAUAUGAUAUUUUUCACAUAGUUAGACACAAUACAGUUCUAUGAAAUGUUUAUGACCUAAAAUAAGACGAGAUAUGAUUGUUUACGUUAAAAU